GCCAGAUGACAGGCAUGUGCCACCACACCCGGCUAUAAACAUUUUAAUUACAAAUUUGAACAGAGCCCCUACCAAAUUUUGACAAGAAAAUGUAUGUUUUAUUGUUAUAAUUUCCUGCCUGGUCAAUUUCUAAAGCCUUGUUAAAAGGAUUUGAAGAGAUGUGAAUGUUAUUUUCUUAAGCACAUUUUACUAGAAGUGAAUGUAAGAGUGAAUAACCCUUCAACAAAGUAGUUCUUUGUAAUGUCAAGCCUUGGGAAAACCAUAAAGAAGGGAAGAUGAUAAAGAACACCAGAGCACUUUAAAUCCUUCUUUUUGUCAUAAUCUUUCUGUAAUUCAUUAGAAUGCUACUUAGUGGAAGGUAGGCCUGCUUUGAUGGUAUAGCAUUAACAAUAUAUUGCCAUGUAAAUCACUCAUCCUCACUCUCCACACCAAAUAGAAAGGAUGUUCUUUGAAUAAAUAAUUGAAUAUUCUCAGGAAAACAUUUCUUUAAACAACAAGAAUGUAAUAUUUUCCUGUCAUAUUUGAAGAAAUCAUAUUUUAAUAAAAAUUUACUACUCUUA